GCCAGCACAGCCGUCAGCGAGUCCAUGAUGCUGGCCCACUCCGUCACCAGCUCCUCCCAGCAGGUGAGAGAGGACAGCACUGCCAGCAGCUCGUCCCAUAACUCCCGGGAGAUAAACACGCACAGAUGCUGAGAAUGCCCUUGCACACCUCCACCUGGUUAUCCAGGAGUUUAGCUACAUCUUGGCAGGGCUCCAGCAGGAAAACGUUGGACGAGUUGGUCAGGAACACCUACGGCGAGGAAGACGCAACAAGGUCGAGCAGACGGCGAGACACAAGGACGAAGCGGGUGACGGUUGGAAUGCUGUGACCUCAGAAUAUUUUAAAAAACAGUGAGCCUAUGAAGACACACCUGUAGUGUGGGCUGGAUACCAGCCUUGACAUCCCUGUUCUGCCCCUCGGUGAGAAACCCCCGACUGAUGGCGCUGCUGAAGGAGUAAGUCCUCCCCCAGCUGGACGAACGCUUGUGGCCGGGAGUUUCCGCCAUCUGGUAGAAAGAAAGAGCAGCCAGUCGAUUGGUCGGCAGAUGGAAGCUGUGAUAUUAGUUCUGAUCGGGUUAAACAUCCUAUGGUCGUAACGUGUUUAUAUAUGAUCAUUUGAGUCCUUCUUGGAGGGGUCGAUGCGGCUUAUGAAAUAAAAAAGUAUUUUUUGUAGUAUUUCUUAUCUCUAGCCUGUUAAUUGUUAUAUGAUAUAUAUGCAUUUGUCACAGCUGUCCUUCGAGCUGUGUGUUUGCAGUUACACAAGAGAGCUUUAACUGGUCUUCCUUGCAGCAAAAAGACACAUCUGCUUGUUCCAAAAUCUCAAGACAAUCACACCCAUACCUAUUCAAUUUAAAGUUUGGUUGUGUAUCUGAUGAAACUACACACUCUGUCCCAGGUGGCCAAUUAGUUGUCUUAACAGAAUCUACUUCUCGGCUUUUCUCUGGAUGGAAAUGAGCGGCUUUCAUCCCAUUAUUUGCACCGGUUGAUAUUUGUUUUAUGAUUACGCCUGUUUGUAAAUAAUUGAUUUGAAUUUUGCCACCAAAACAGAUUUGGGCUUUCAUGCAUUGAGGUACAAGUUCUUAUUUAUUCAUGGUAUAAUAUGAAGGUCCAACAGUUCUAAUGUGCUUCACGCAUGAUGCACAGGUCUCUUUCUAUGUACAGGCUCACCAAAGACCUGCUCCCUUGUACUUGCCCACAAUAAUUGCCUCACAUGGUCAAAAUAAUGUUCACUGAUGCUUUAGGAAAAAUAUUUUUGUAUUGAUCGUCUGUGCUAUUGCAGUUUUUAGUUUUACAUCAGGAUUCUUUGAGGGAAUAAUUGUACUUUUAUUAAUGUAAAAUAUGAGUUUAAUUUCUAGAAUUAAUAAAAGAUUAUUGUGUAAAGGUGA